ensembl:lncRNA
GACCAUUGCAUGUAAGUUGGGGAUGGAGCUCUGCUAGGAAGAGGAAUGGGGACAGGUGGAAGGUUAGCACCCCAUGGUUGCAGCUCACACUGCAGUGCUGCAGGGAGAACCCAGCAAAGGCAGUGUGGCUUCUUCCAGGAACCUGGAGCUUUUGCAGUUGUCUUUAGAGAGAACAAAGCUUGAGAAGUUUGGUAUCUUUAUUUCCUCCUUCAGCAUGGUCUUAAAUUCAGGACUUGAAAUACUACUGUGUGGUGGAGUUGGAUGUCAGUAACUGGAAAAGCAUGAUCAGUUGCUCUUGUUCUGUCUCAGUGGGACUAUUCAGAUCCAGGUGUAAUUCCAGGCACGUAUGAAGCAUUAAGGAAAUGUGGAUGACUGCAUGGUGUUUCAGAAUUGCUGAAUGCCUUUUACCUGCAGUGAAGAUGCACCAGCUGUUCAUUCUCUGCAACACAUGAUGAGGUGCUAACUGCAAUCAGAAUCAGAGCUUUUAGAGAAUGUUUCCAGCUCCAGCUGCAUGAAGGACAUUUUCCUGUGAUGAUGGUGAAGCUAGGAAUGAUGCCCAGCCAGUGGGAACAUGCUUGUAUUGCCACUGACAGAACCAUUGACAGCAGUGGAUUGGCUUCACAAUCACGGAAUGGCUGAGACUGGCAGAGACCUCUGGGUCUAUCUGUUCCUGCUCCUGCCCCAGCAGAGAUGCUCAGUAAUGUGCCCAGGAUGGUGUCCUGAUGGGUUUGAAUAUCUCCAAGGAGGAGACUCCACGAACUCUCUGGUCCCUUUGCCAGAGUUCUGUCACUCGUGCAGCUCAGCAGUGAUUCCUGAUGUUCAGAGGGAAUCUCCUGUGCUUCAGUUUCAUAGAAUCAUCAUAGAAUGGCCUGGGUUUGUGCCUGUUGUCUCUUGUUCUGGCACUAGGCACUGAGCUGAGCCUGGCUCUGUCCUCUUUGCACCUUCCUUUUGGGUAUUUGUAUGCAUUGAUCAGGUCCCUUCUGAGCCUUCUCCAGGCAGAAUGCCAUCAACUCUCUUAGCCAUUACUCUUAAGAGAGAUGCUCCAGUACCUUCAUAUUGUUGGCUCUCUCCAGUAUGGCCAUAUCUGUUGUACCAGAGAGCCCAGAACUGGAUUUUGACAGCAGACAUUUUUACCUGUGACUUGCUAGUCUCUUAUUUGCCAUGUCUUCAUGUAGACAUGGUGUGAGCACUCUUCCAGUCCCCUGGAACUACAGUGAUGUAUCAAGAUAUGUUAGAAAUGCACACCAGUGUCUUGCAAAUGGCUUGUAAUUUUGCCAAGUGACUGAACCAUCAAGAAGGUUUCACUGGGAGCAAGUAUGGGUUGUUUAUACUCCUUAGCACUGAGUAAAACAUGAUGCUAGCAGCUUGUUUUACUACCUGUGGAUCUUGCUCUAAGCCUUUAUGUUGUGGUUGGGGUUUGUUGCUUAGAGAAUAUUCAUCUGUUGCUUCCUGGGGCAAGCUCCUUUGCUUUGUUCUCAUCCCUCUGAGGUUUUCUGUGCCUUUUAAUAAACAUCUGUGAUGUAUGGUGC